ACAAGCAAAGGGGGAACCUGUGGAGCUGCAGGCACAGGAGCAGACCCAAGUCACAGCAGUGCUCCCCUUGAAUGGGUGAGGGACUUUGAUCCUGCCUAAAACAUCAGCCAGCCUUUCUCCUGGUGGUGAUACAGACCUAAGCACGAGGGCUGCAUGCUCAGGUUUGUGAUUUUUUUUUACUAAUUAGAUUUAAAUCCACCGCACCUGAAGCUCCCACUAGAGCAGACACACCUGGCGAUCAGAGUAAGCCAAGAAAGCUGCAGCUCAGAACACUGCAUCUUGAGCAACCAAGACACUGUAAGGAUGCAGUCAGCACUUUGUCCUUUUGAGAAAAGAAGGAAUACGUUUUGCGCAGACUUUGAGAUCUCUGACCAGGCGAGGUCCCACUUGUAAGUAUUUUACCCUUCCACAAAGUCAGCCUACAAAUGUGUAAGCUAUGGUGGUAUUUUCUUGGAGGGUGGCCAUGUGACUGCUGAGAAUAGAACAAGACCACUAAUCGUGAUCCUACAUAGGCAUAAGACACUGCAUCAUCUUAGAAGGAGAAUCGCUGAGGAGAAGGUGCAAAAGAGUUAAAUGGCAGCUCUUGGUGGAAGGCUGAGCUCAGGACCCACGUGUGCUGGAAGGAGACUGUAAGUUGGUUCUAAUAAAACAUGAGAAAUCGAGGUUAGAACAUCAGACAGGAAUUCUUCAGGAUUAAAGGUAAAAAUAAACCAGGCCAUGCUAGCAGAUUUAUGCAGGACUGCAGAAGUUCCUAUCUGCCUAUCUGUCUGUCUGGGUAUUUGCAUUGCACCUGGAGCCCUCCUGGGUUCCUCACUGACACUGAGCUCCCACACAGCACCAUCUCAGGGCACUUGCCUUCCUCCUUAUGCAGUUGAUUUGGAGAUUUCAGUCCUGGCAGACUGCUGGCAUGUUAUACAUGUCUUUCAUUGCCUGGACUGUAGCCACGCAAUAUAGAAGAUGAAUCAUAGAAACAUUAAGGUUGGAAAAGAUGACUAAGAUCACCAAGUCCAGCCCCAGCCCACACUCACCAUGCCCACUGACCCUCAGUGCUGCACAGUUCUAGAACUCCUCUGGGGACGGUGACUCCAUUGCCUCCCUGGGCAGUCUGUGCCACUGCAUCCCCAAGUAAGGAGAAGUGUGAGAAGUGUAGAGACAGCAGCUUAUACAGAAAACUUGUGACUGAGGAAAUAAAUUUCUCUACUCAAAAUAUCAAGUAAAAUCCAUGAAAAUAAUCAUACUCUGCUAUGCCAAACGUACAAAAGUCAGCUGCUGAAAAAGAACAGUGAUCAGUCACUCAGAUUUCCAUUGUAAGGGUAACAACCCGUUCAGGAGACAUCUCUGUGGCUUGUUCAAAGCCAGAGAGUAAACUUCUAGAUGAACUAAAUAUUGCUAAGGACGUCAGCUCCUACAGAUCAUCCAAACUCAGCCUUGGCAGUCCGGUUCUUCCCCAGAUGAGAGAAAGAUGGAACCACAAAUGAUGAUCCUCACUUGUUAAUUAACACUCAAAUAAAGAUGCUCAACCAUUAUGAUAAAGAAGUCAGGAAAGUAUCCUUUCAGAGCACUGCACUAAUUGCACCUGGAGUAGUCUGUAAUUGUCAGCUCACAGCCUCAGCUCCAGUUUAGAGACAUCAGCUCUAAACUUGUGUCACACAACAGAGUUUGUGGAACUUCUGUGCACUUCUACAGUGGCACUCUCCUAGUCCUUACCCUAAUUAAGUACAGGGAGGCCCAAGAGGUAUUUUGAUUGCUAUGGCUGCCCAGUACUUCUGUAGCAGCCAUGUCUCAGACUGCGUUUACUACUGCGUUUAUCUGCCAUGACCUCAAUGUGCAGCUGCUGCUUGGUGUGACGGGGCUGCUGCUUGUUAAGAAGGCUGCACUAAGAUCUAAUGGACACUGGUAAGAAUUGAGCAGCUUUGCAGUGGCCUACAGUGGAAAGGGCCAUCUUGUCACUCACCUGUGUAGGAUCAGUUGUAUUUUGGUGAAAGACAGAUAUAUCAUAGUAUAAUAUCAAACUCUAUCUUCAACGAUCUUUUGCUUUUCAUCUGUUCAAUCAGUCAUCUCUUUAGCAACCAGAACAAACAAAAAGAGCUAAUAAAUAUGUGAAGACUUGCAUCUCUGGCCAAUUUCAACAUUUUUUCAGCAUGUGAUCAAACAUCCAUAUAAAAAACUUGAUAAAAAUCUUUGGACCCUUUAGGGCUUGAACCUGGAGAGAUGUCUAGUUUGGCUGAACUCCAUAUGCCCUUCCAGAAUUCCUGUGCUAAUGACUUAAUCCCCCCGGUUCAGGAAUAUUCCUGAAUUUAUUUGCUUACACAUUUCUGAAGCUUCAUGAGGAAAAGCAAUGAGAGAUUUGUAUAUAAACAAACAAGAAAGAGCAAGUCUCUGGUAUGAUGGAAGAAUAAGUGCAAAUUUCAUAGAAGUCAUUUAUAAUUCCGGUUGCUGAAUCUAUUUUUAGAGCUGUUUUCAUAAGACAAGACACUACGAGGGAAAUAAACCUGUCAUACCAACUGUUAUUAUCAUUUAUAUUACCAUAGUGUCUAGGAGUCCUUCUCUGGAAAGAACUCCAUUGCAUUAGGAAUUACAUACAUAAACGCCGAGGAAGAAUAAAGGGGAAUUCCCACAGGAAGCUGGAGGUUGGGAAGGCAAGGACUGUUCAGCCAAGGGCAUGAUGAAGGAGCAGCUUCCAAAGUAGGCAGAGAGCCAGGAUCAAGUGUGGAACAGACGCAAACAGAAACAAACAUGUUAGACAUAAAAGAUAGGUUUAUAUGCUGAAAGUAACCAGUGGGUCAAGAAGCGUGAGGAGAUCUGGCUAACAUAAGGUUAUUAGAAACCUUGCUGAGAGCAAUUUUGGUGGUCAGCAUGGAGACAGCUAAAUUAGUGGGAAUGGAAUACAGACGUGAAAUAGAGGAAGUUGGAGUUCUUGUUAAUAGAACAUUUCACGAGUGCAAAAAGAAAAUGGAAGGGGUGUACAGGUUAGGAAUAUUCUUUCCAGUAUUGAGAGGAGCUAAAUUACUUUUCUUUUUUUAGUGAAAAGAGCUACAAAUGGGUAGUCAAUGGGCUGUGAGUUUUGGGAGAACUAAUUAGAGCAGAGAAGGUGAAGUGAAAAGGAUCAAGUGAUAGUCAUUAAAAAGAGAUUCAGCAGAGAUUAAAGAGAUGAUUGAAGCAAAGCGGUGGAAAAUGCAUCUAUUUGCUGCCUGGGAUAAAUGUAUGAAGUCUACUGCUCAGAUUGAAGCAGGACAACCUCUGCAUGUGGAGCCACAUGAAACGCUUGGCCUCGUCGACUGGACAGCCAAAGGGAAGUUACGGGCUGACAACAGAUGCGAGUGGAAAGAAAGGCUUAGCCAAGAGGUGAGAGGCACCGGCAUGGUGCACAUCCAUGAGGACCUUGAGCAUCUUCCUGUGUGCUUUGAGACAACGGCAGCUACGGUCCUCCUGCCCCUUACUGCUGGGUUACACCAGGGCUGCAGUGACCCUUCUCAACGAAUGAGUGAACGUGCUCAGGAGCCACCAUGGUGUGACGAAUUACUGCUUAAGGGAAUGACUGAUUAAUUCCACCAAAGGAUUCAGCCUUCACGUUUCUGCAGACAAACAGGUGCCCGUUGUCAGGUGCCUGUAGUGAGACAGGCUUCCCUACUGCCAAGAUCAAAGCUGUGAUGUGCACAGUCCCAGCAAUCAGAAUACAAAAGGUAUACGAGAGGAGGAGAUGAUGCACUGGGUGUCUAUGAAGGCUAGCUAUCCUCAUGGAAGGGUGUAUGCAUACGUAGACCUAAACUAGGUCACAAAGUUGCUGAGGUUCCAUCCGCUAACAUUUCAAAAUCUGUAUUUUUAGAAUCAACAAGUUCUCUGUAUAUUAGAACAAGGCUCUUAUGCAACUCUGUAAAAAUAGCAUUCAUUCUACUUCUUGUCUUCGCUUGGUAAAGUUAUUUCUCCUGUAUUUUAUACAUGUAAUUUAAGCCUACUAUAAAGAGAAUUGCUCUUCAGCAGCCUCAAGCAGAUAAAAAAUGUUACCCUCCUGCUAAGCUUCAUUUCCUAACUGCGCCGCUGUGAGUCAGGCGGUGUUUCAGUUUACAGUUCCAAGAGGUGAGUUUCAUCACUCCUUGCUAAGGACCCCAUCUCAGAGCAUCCCACCAUAUCCUCUGCACUUCCCGCAUAGUCUGACGAGUUCUGCCACAGAGGCCUCCUUUGACUCCAGCCUAUGACAACUUUACAGCACUUCCACUGCUCGACGCGCAGCAGAAAUGCUAAUUAAACCCUUCUCCUUCACUCCCUGCAUAAAGGAGAGAAAGAUGUAAAUGACGUUUCUCAGUAGCCCCCGGCAAAUUUCCCUUGGAUUUAACUGCCAUUCCGACACCGGCGCUCCCACGCGCUGUUUGGCACAUUUCGAUUUCAUGCUCUCCUUUGUGAAUCCAUUGGCUUAACGCGUUAAGGACGCGGAAAGACAUCUCUCAUUCUUAAUGAUCUCCGCACAACUUGAGUCGAGCCACCGGUGUGUCAGCGCGGGUGUGGAGAGAAAGGGACGGUGCUGAGACUGUGAUUGAGCUGCUGCUCACGCCCGCCGCUGACAGACUGCUGACUGCUCCUUGCUUUGCUUCAGGCACGUCACACUGAUGUGCUGUCAUGAAAGUGAUGCGCUUUCCCAAUCCCGCUGUACGAAUAGGAUAUUUAAACCGAUGUAUUGCCUUCUCAUGAGUAUAUAGUGAUGAUGUCAGAGCAACGUCUCAGUUCUCGUUGACGGGAGUUGCAGCUUUAGCAUCAGAGAUCAAAAAUAACAUUGCAGAUCUACGUUAUGAACUUACAAGCAAAGAGAAAGCACAGAGGUAAUUUUGGGUAUUUGGUUUCACUCAGCCUCUUCAUUAAUAUCUUAACUACCGCUCCUUAUACUGCAGCUUUGUUCAGCUUUUGGAAAGCAGAUCUAUUAUUUACAGCCUGCCGAUACAAUCUCUGAGCACUGAUAAGCCCACAUAGACUGCUUAAGGCAAUGUCUGAGAAAGGAAAAAUACAGAGAUUUAACCAAGGGUUACAAAGUACUCGUGCUUUUCCAGAAAAGAAGGAAACAAUACCCAUUGCUGGAGCUGUACUUUAGAAAGCUACUUUUAGAGCUGAAGGCUGAAAUCUCCCCUCUGCUUUCACUUCUCUACAUAAAGAAGAGAGCAAGGAGAACAAACCAGCCUUAGAAAACCCCAGUACAGCGAGGGUAGAACUUUGCUUCACACAGCAGAGUAUAAAAAUAGCCAUCAGACACUGUUUUCAAUUUCUGUUGGGACUGUGCACAAAAUACCAGGCUGACAGGAAGAAAAGAUAAACCUUGUAUGAGACAGCGGGGCCAUGAUUUUAAAUGCCUGCAGGAACGUGUACUGCAGAUCGGAAGGACAGGGCAGGGAGAAGCCUUCUAAAGCUACUAUCUGCCUAUCCUACACCUCCGGAUAGGUUCUUCAUGCCAGGAGAUUGCAGAAUCCCUUGCAACAGCAAGAAAAUAUCUUGGUCCUCUCAUCAAAUUUCAAAUGCAAGGCUCCUUUCCCUUGCCUUUAGAGAUGAUUCAAUUCUUUACUAAGGUAGGUAAUGGCAGGACAAGGGGAAAUGGUUUUAAGUUGAAGGAGGGAAGGUUUAGGUUGGAUAUCAGGGGGAAAUUCUUUACAGAGGAAGUGGUGAGGUGCUGGCACAGCUGCUCAGAGAGGCUGUGGAUGCUCCGUCCCUGGAGGUGUUCAAGGCCAGGUUGGAUGGGGCCCUGGGCAGCCAUGUCUAGUAUUAGAUAUUGAGGUUGGUGGCCCUUCCUGCAGCAGGGGGUUUGGAGCUUCAUGAUCCUUGGGGUCCCUUCCAACCCAACCAUUCUGUGAUUCUAUCAUUCUGUUGUAUGAUUCUUAGAGCAGUCACUUUGAGACCACAGAAUGGAGUGGUACCUUUCUUGGUUCUGGCAAAAUGCACCCAGCUCAGUCAUUAUACACAGUGGUACUACGUGAGUAUCCUUGUACAUACUGGAUUAUAUAUUAUGUAUUAAUGUUUUAAAUAGUUGAAUUGAUAAGAGCAAUGAUAUUUAUCAAGGAAAAAAAAUCAACGUAGCUGCCCUAUUCUCAUUAGCACUCACCUAUAGUAAACAAACCAGAUUUUUUGGCAUGCAGCGCCUUCAUGAGCAAUUAAUCAUUGUACCAAUAAGACCACGAGGAGAAGCAUAAGUAACAGAUUAUAUUUGUAGGUAUGUUGGUAUUGCUCCUCACUUGAAUGACUGUGCAGUAUUAGCACUCCGGCUCCAUAUGUUCUUAGUCAAAGCUGUAAAACUGUUAUCUAAAGUGAAAUGGUUGUAACAAAACAAUUCUAAUUGGUAGAAGCUGCUGUUAAAGCAUGGCUCAGCCACAGUGAAACAUUUUUACUAUGGUUGUUACUGUCAAUAGAACAGAAUGUUCACCUCCCAACAUGAAUGACAGAUGGGGAAGGGUGUAUUGUCUCAUUCUCUACAUUAAGGUCUGGGUGAAGUCAAAGCAAGCAUUUGCUUACAGAAUCUUUCCAGGGGCUGCGCAGUGUGGAGAACAGCUGUGUCUAUGAGCACCCACACAGCGCAGACCAUGUCACCAUCUACACACAGUAAUAUGGCUAACAGGGCUCUGAAGCAGAACUCAGCGCAGCGAGACCCUCUGCAGCAGCUAUGCUGGCCCUUGGGAUCUCUGCAGCAAACUGAAGCGUGCAAACAGUCUGUGACUCAUGCAGCACAACAUUUCUCAUCUGUCUUACAUGCAGAAAUGGAUGAAACCAGAUCUCGUUUUCCAGGUUGCUGAAUCAACCUGAAGCUGGAGAGUCUUUGCUACUCCACGGUUUUAGCCCAGGUCCACAAGUGGCCAGCUGACACGUGGCUGCACAGCCUGCAGGAAGGGGAGUGUGAAAUGAAUGGUGCUUGGUAGCUAACAGAUUUUUACUCAGUUGUGAUGCCUCAUGGCAUACACAUUUCAUUGCUUCCACAUCUCUGCUGAUGUAAAAAAUUGACAAACAAAUCAGAUCAUGAAAGAUAAAUUUUGUAAUGUUUAUUUUUUCAGUGAAAAAGCUUUACAAGGAGAAAAAGGUUUCACAGGAGAAAGAAUACAUUCUUCAGUAGCUGUUUAUUUGCUCAUUGAAAUCUGAGGCUGACAUUUCCCCUACGGCGUAUUUAUUUGUUCUCCUAAUAUUACAGGACAUUUACCUCUUACUUAAAAAGGAUCAUAAUCCAUGAAUAUUGUUAAGAACUCAAUUAGGCAAUGCUGUAUGUGAAGAAUCUCCACAAUCUACAUAAGCUGUAGAUGAAGUGCCUUCAGUUUUAAUUCUUCCCAAGCUUUGCAGCAACAAAUAUAAAACAUAGCUUUUAAAUGUCCAAAUACUUGAAAGGCUUUGCAACACACACAAUGCAAAAACAGAGGUUUAGUAUCUCAAAGAGCAGACAAAAAUACUCCCAUGUCCUCAAAGCAACGCUGAAGUUCUCGAGGAAGGUAAUACAAUCUCCAUCUUUCCACCUAAAGAAUAUACAGACAUUUAUUAAGGUGUUAAGUGCUUGACUGUGACUUUCUCUGCUACUGUUGUACUGCUGGAAUGUUAAGACAUCCCAACAUCAGAACCUAAAUGAAGUGAGAUGGUUUCACAGUGAGAGUACCUGACCCUUCAUAGCUGCCUCUGCACACAGACCUCUGCCAUUUAAACUAUCUUGGCUGAUCUGUAAGAAGAGGAAAGAAAAAAAAAAACAAAAAACCAACAAAAAACCCCAAAGACCAAAACCCUGCCCCUCAAAUACCAGGAAAUACCAUCCUUGCCCAUUUAAAGUUCUGCCCUCCAUUGCACUGCAAUUUCUGCAAGAUGUUUGAAAUCACCCUGCCAAGUUUACUCCUAUUUCUCACGAACACUUAAGAACAGUUUCAGAAGUAUGUUCACAAGAUUGAGAAAAAGACUUGAGAUUGGAGUACUUCAUAAGAGUAGGCUGAACAAGAAGCACCUUCACUUCAGCUUAAUAACCGUGGAAGAAAGCCAAUCUUUACAGUUUCAGAAUUAGCAGAGUUAAAAAACAAACCAACAAAGAACAAAACCCAAACUCACCAAUCAGGAAGGUCAAAUAAAUAGCCUAUCUCAAUCAGCAUUUCUAUGAAGACACACUUUCAAGUAUUUUCAUUCAAGGCACUGAUUUCUUCCUUCAGUCAUCCUGAUGCAAUGAAAGCACAGCACUUCUGUCACACUGGGCUGAACUACCGUCCCAGGAGAUACUUGCUGCUAUCCCUGGGGAGCCUGAAUUUCACCUUGCUGCAGCUUUUCAACUACCUCAUCAUAUACAGAAGAGAGAGAUUUAAAUACAGUUAUUCUCCUUUAAAAUUGAGAUUGGAUACAUGUGAAGUUAAACGCUCAAACUAUAAAAAUAGUCAGCAAUUCUGUUACAGAAUCACAGAAUAUCCCAGGUUGGAAGGGACCCCCAAGGAUCAGCCUGGCUCCACACAGGACCACCCAAAAUCCAAACCCUAUUCCUGAGAGCACAGUCCAAACAGUCCUUGAGUUCUGGCAGCUCGGGGCUGUACCCACUGCCCUGGGAAGCCUGUUCCAAGCCUGACCACCCUCUGCUGAAGAACCUUUUCCUAACACCCAACCUGACCCUCAGGACACAUUCCUUGAAUGGAUGGUUUUCAAACGUGGAUUUCAGUUUCAUCAAAAGCUUGAAAAACAAGAUCUUGUUCUUCAAAACUUAAAACCAAAUUAGGAAUACUUAUAUUCCAUACUAUGAAGCCUGACAGACAUGAUGCUGGAACAUGUUGCCCAGUGAGGUUGUGGAUGCCCCUUCCCUGGAAGCAUUCAAGGCCAGGCUGGAUGGGGCUGUGAGUAACCUGGUCCAGGGGGAGGUGUCCCUGCCUAUAGCAGGGGGGAGGAACCAGAUGAUCUUAAAGGUCCCUUCCAACCCAAACCAUUCUGUGAUUCUAUGAGAUGGGUUGAGUUUCGAAAUAUUUAGUCAAAAGGAAAAAUACACACUGUGGAGCAUUGCUCUCCUGAGGCAUGUUGAGUACAUAGCACUGAGCAAAGGUAGGCUUACGAACACAUUUCUACAAGCAUCAUUUCUUCAGCUCAGCAUUGUCAAUGUUUCAGAUGAACUAGGCAAGGCUUGAAAAAUUCUCAAGCUCUUUUGCUUAACCCGAAGUACUGCAGCUGGACAACGCGUUCUCCAGUGUGCCUGAAAGCAAUGGACCAACAAAGCGGUUCACUAAACAAGUAGGGGAGGGGCAAGGGGUUGGUGAAGGGAAUUAUCUAUCUUGGAUCCCUCUAUGGAAACAAAAUAUUGGCCAUAUUUCAUUCUCGGGGAAACUACUGGAGGAAAAGACAGUCCCAAAAACAUAAUGAAUACCUCCCAUAAUAUUGUGACAAAAGAAAGUAAAAUAAGCCCAGAAACUCAAGUCAUGCAUAGAUGUACUGAAUACUUAGUAAGAACGAAUCCUAGUCCUUAACAAGAGUAAAUGACUUUAUGCUGCAGUACAACAUCUGUAACACACAGGAAUAGCUGGUUCUGAUGGAUGAGAGUAGUCAAACUUUGUUACAUGAGUACAAUGGAAUGUAAAAUAUUACAAAUGCUGUUUCUAAAUUCAUGAUCUGCUGUACAACGCAAAGACAAACCUGGCAGUCCAAUUAAAAAAAAACAAUAACCAAGGCUCACUUUUGCAGUGACUGUUGUAAGUAACUUCCAGCAUUCUGACACCUUCCCAGCUAGGGACAGAGAAGCUCAUUAAAUCUCUGACAAACUUUUUCCAGUGUCAA